ensembl:rRNA 5S_rRNA 5S ribosomal RNA
GUCUCUGGCCACACCACCCUGAGCAUGCCAGACUUCGUCUGAUCUUGGAAGCUAAGCAGGGUCGGGUGUGGUUAGUACUGGGAUGGGAAAGGGGCCCCAGUGGACCUGAGAAA